AGGUUCCGUAGCUCAGUUGGUUAGAGCGUGCGGCUGUUAACCGCAAGGUCGUUGGUUCGAUCCCAGC
rnacentral:tRNA from 1 species